AUGUCGUGACACCAACAUGUGUGUAGACAUAACUAUUUGAAGUUAUAAAAUAAUAAUUUUGUAAUUAUUCUGUUUAAUAAUGUUUGUAGUAUUGUUUUUAUUUUGUUUUUGUGUUGCGGUGAAGUCGCAAGAAUGCACACAUACAGACAAUGGCCAGAAAGGAAGAUGUGUCAAUAUGGAGGACUGUCCGACUGCGAUCAGAGAUUUGAAAUUUAACAUACAUCCUCACAUUUGUUCAUUCAACGGGACGUCAAAAAUACCUAUUAUUUGCUGUCUGGAAGAAGCUAAGAAUAUAACGGCGUAUGUACAAUUUUAUACAUUUAAAUUAAGUCGACCGUACCGAACUAUGUAACAGAAUCUAAGAAUCUGAAUUACACACACUUGUAAUUGUUGUAUCGUCGUGAAACUCGGCAGUUGUAUGUAGAUUAGAUGACAAUACAAUAUUAUGGUGCCGUCGAGCUGGUUUGAUGGUGGAAUUGGAAGGUGGCUGAUGGAACCUUGAGCUACUAGUAAACAUAUCGAGUUUGGGCUCAUUGGAUAUAUCGAU